rnacentral:rRNA from 1 species
UACGUAGGGGGCAAGCGUUGUCCGGAUUUAUUGGGCGUAAAGAGCGUGUAGGCGGCCAGGUAGGUCAGCUGUGAAAACUCGAGGCUCAACCUCGAGACGCCGGUUGAAACCAUCUGGCUAGAGUCCGGAAGAGGAGAGUGGAAUUCCUGGUGUAGCGGUGGAAUGCGCAGAUAUCAGGAAGAACACCCGUGGCUAAGGCGGCUCUCUAGUACGGUACUGACGCUGAGACGCGAAAGCGUGGGGAGCGAACAGG